rnacentral:rRNA from 1 species
AUUGAACGCUGGCGGCAGGCCUAACACAUGCAAGUCGAGCGGAUGAAGGGAGCUUGCUCCUGGAUUCAGCGGCGGACGGGUGAGUAAUGCCUAGGAAUCUGCCUGGUAGUGGGGGAUAACGUCCGGAAACGGGCGCUAAUACCGCAUACGUCCUGAGGGAGAAAGUGGGGGAUCUUCGGACCUCACGCUAUCAGAUGAGCCUAGGUCGGAUUAGCCAGUUGGUGGGGUAAAGGCCUACCAAGGCGACGAUCCGUAACUGGUCUGAGAGGAUGAUCAGUCACACUGGAACUGAGACACGGUCCAGACUCCUACGGGAGGCAGCAGUGGGGAAUAUUGGACAAUGGGCGAAAGUCUGAUCCAGCCAUGCCGCGUGUGUGAAGAAGGUCUUCGGAUUGUAAAGCACUUUAAGUUGGGAGGAAGGGCAGUAAGUUAAUACCUUGCUGUUUUGACGUUACCAACAGAAUAAGCACCGGCUAACUUCGUG